AAGCACGUAGGUGGGUUUGUAAGUCAGAUGUGAAAGCCUCCUGUUCAACGGGAGAAUUGCAUCUGAAACUACUGAUCUUGAGUGUAGGAGGGGAGAGUGGAACUUCUGGUGGAGCGGUGAAAUGCGUAGAUAUCAGAAGGAACGCCGGCGGCGAAAGCGAUUCUCUGGCCUAUUACUGACGCUCAGUGUGCGAAAGCUAGGGGAGCAAACGGGAUUAGAUACCCCGGUAGUCCUAGCCGUAAACGAUGGGCACUAAGUAGAGGGG
rnacentral:rRNA from 1 species